rnacentral:ncRNA from 1 species
CAAAAGUUUGGUCCUGACUUUACUAUCAAUUUUAACUAGAUUUACACAUGCAAGUAUCCGCAUCCCUGUGAGAAUGCCCAACAAUCUCCUAUCUGGAAAUGAGGAGCUGGUAUCAGGCACAAACAAUUUAGCCCAAAACACCUUGCUUAGCCACACCCCCAAGGGAUUUCAGCAGUGAUAAAUAUUAAGCCAUAAGUGAAAACUUGACUUAAUCAAAGAUAAUUAAGGCCGGUAAAACUCGUGCCAGCCACCGCGGUUAGACGAGAGGCCUAAGUUGAUUGUUUACGGCGUAAAGAGUGGUUAAGGAAAAUCUAAACUAAAGAUAAACAUUUUCACAGCUGUUAUACGCAUUCGAAAAAAAGAAAAACUACUACGAAAGUGUCUUUAAAACACCUGACCCCACGAAAGCUAUGAAACAAACUGGGAUUAGAUACCCCACUAUGCAUAGCCUUAAACCCCGAUAAAACUUUACAUGCAUUAUCCGCCAGGACACUACAAGCCCUAGCUUAAAAUCCAAAGGACUUGGCGGUGCUUUAGACCCACCUAGAGGAGCCUGUUCUAGAACCGACAACCCCCGUUCAACCUCACCCUCUCUUGUUUAUCUUCCCGCCUAUAUACCGCCGUCGUCAGCCUACCCUUUGAAGGUUAAAAUAGUAAGCAAAAAUAGUACAACUUAAAACGCCAGGUCGAGGUGUAGCAUAUGAGAGGGAAAGAAAUGGGCUACAUUCCCUAUAAAGGGAACACGAAAAAUGAAAUGAAAACACAUUUGAAGGAGGAUUUAGCAGUAAGAAGAAAACAGAGAGUUCUACUGAAACCGGCCCUGAAGCGCGCACACACCGCCCGUCACUCUCCCCAAAAAACAUAAAUAAAUAAAUAAUUAAAUAAAUAAAUAAAGGGGAGGCAAGUCGUAACAUGGUAAGUGUACCGGAAGGUGCACUUG